UACGGAAGGCAGCAGUGGGGAAUAUUGCACAAUGGGCGCAAGCCUGAUGCAGCCAUGCCGCGUGUAUGAAAAAGGCCUUCGGGUUGUAAAGUACUUUCAGUCGUGAGGAAGGUGUUAAGGUUAAUAACCUUAGCAAUUGACGUUAGCGACAGAAGAAGCACCGGCUAACUCCGUGCCAGCAGCCGCGGUAAUACGGAGGGUGCGAGCGUUAAUCGGAAUUACUGGGCGUAAAGGGCACGCAGGCGGUUAAUUAAGUUGGAUGUGAAAUCCCCGGGCUUAACCUGGGAAUGGCAUUCAAGACUGGUUAGCUAGAGUCUUGUAGAGGGGGUAGAAUUCCAUGUGUAGCGGUGAAAUGCGUAGAGAUGUGGAGGAAUACCGGUGGCGAAGGCGGCCCCUGGACAAAGACUGACGCUCAUGUGCGAAAGCGUGGGGAGCCAAACAGGGAUUAGAUACC
rnacentral:rRNA from 1 species